GAAUGUGAGGGCAAUCUGCCUGCAACGUCUGUCACCCCAUUGAUCUUCAAGGUUGAUUCUGCUGAUCCGACUGGCUAGGUAGUUGCCCCUUUCCUCCCUCAAUGCUCCACGUGUCCCUCCUGAAGCUGCAUGCUCUACCAAAGAGGGUGACUUUCCCUGAUAGAUGAGGACCCGUCUUCAGUCAAGGUUAUAGGAGUAGCUCUGCUUCGCUUCCCUGCUACAAUCUCCAAACAAGCUCUCCAAAGGCUUU
rnacentral:sRNA from 1 species